AACGCGAAGAACCUUACCAGGCCUUGACAUCCAAUGAACUUUCUAGAGAUAGAUUGGUGCCUUCGGGAACAUUGAGACAGGUGCUGCAUGGCUGUCGUCAGCUCGUGUCGUGAGAUGUUGGGUUAAGUCCCGUAACGAGCGCAACCCUUGUCCUUAGUUACCAGCACGUUAUGGUGGGCACUCUAAGGAGACUGCCGGUGACAAACCGGAGGAAGGUGGGGGUGACGUCAAGUCAUCAUGGCCCUUACGGCCUGGGCUACACACGUGCUACAAUGGUCGGUACAGAGGGUUGCCAAGCCGCGAGGUGGAGCUAAUCCCACAAAACCGAUCGUAGUCCGGAUCGCAGUCUGCAACUCGACUGCGUGAAGUCGGAAUCGCUAGUAAUCGCGUAUCAGAAUGUCGCGGUGAAUACGUUCCCGGGCCUUGUACACACCG
rnacentral:rRNA from 1 species